GCGUCGGCCUGUGGGCUCCCC
rnacentral:siRNA from 1 species